AUGAAGGGGCGGUUGGGAGCUCUGAGAGGUUUUACGGCUGCUUGUGCAGAUAGCCCUACUACACCCAAGAAUCCCAUUGUGGAAUUGAUAAACAGUGAUGAUGAUGUGUUUGACAAGAUUGCUGGCGUUGGAAGGGUCACGAGGAGCGUUGCUGCCAAAGGUUUAUCUCCCCUUGCUGGAAUAGUGGCUCGUAGAGCUGGUGGUGCUAGGAAAGAUCCCGCUUUGGAUUCUGGCAAUGUUGUAAGCACGAAGCGUGCGCCCAGAGCUCCUAUAAAGUUUUGCUCCCCUGUGCAGCAGCUUCACCCUUAUAAAUUCCCUCACCUUGACAAGGCUCGCAGGUUGUAUAAUCUGUUGCUUAGUAAUGAAUGGCGUGAGAAGUAUGGCGAGGAUACAUUCUCAAUGAUACCUCAGCCUGAUGGAAACGUAACUAACUUCACUGGGAAUCGCAUCUGGGAAGUUUUUUCACCUGGGCAAAUGAUGGAGGGUGAUGUUGUGCUUGACUGUUCGUUUUACGAGGAUGAAAAUAAAGUGUUUAAUGUGGAGAGUGCAGUGAGAUAUUUCAAGAGCUAUGUUAAAGGUAAUGAAGACUUGCUCAGUGCCGACCUUAUCAUGAUGCCUCUAUUCAAGCCUAUGGUUUUAUCAAAGGAUAGGAAAGUGAGCCACUAUUCCUUAUAUGUCAUGAAUCGGUACUGA
rnacentral:rRNA from 1 species